rnacentral:rRNA from 1 species
UAAUACGGAGGGUGCGAGCGUUAAUCGGAAUUACUGGGCGUAAAGCGCACGUAGGCGGCUUGUUAAGCAAGAUGUGAAAGCCCAGGGCUCAACCUUGGAAUUGCAUUUUGAACUGGCAAGCUAGAGUUUUGAAGAGGGUGGUAGAAUUUCCAGUGUAGCGGUGAAAUGCGUAGAUAUUGGAAGGAAUACCAGUGGCGAAGGCGGCCACCUGGUCAAAAACUGACGCUGAGGAGCGAAAGCGUGGGGAGCAAACAGG